rnacentral:rRNA from 1 species
AGAGUUUGAUCAUGGCUCAGGAUGAACGCUAGCGGAAGGCAUAAUACAUGCAAGUCGAGCGGUAGAAUAACUUCGGUUGUUUGAGAGCGGCGCACGGGUGAGUAACGCGUACAUGACCUACCUUUAAGAAGUGGAUAGCCCUGGGAAACUGGGAUUAAUACACUAUGUGAUAUGUGUUAUAGAUGAUGCAUAUUAAAGCUGAGGCGCUUAGAGAUGGAUGUGCGUCUGAUUAGCUAGUUGGUAGGGUAAAGGCCUACCAAGGCGACGAUCAGUAGGGGGCGUGAGAGCGUGAUCCCCCACACGGGUACUGAGACACGGACCCGACUCCUACGGGAGGCAGCAGUAAGGAAUAUUGGACAAUGGAGGGAACUCUGAUCCAGCCAUUCCGCGUGGAGGAAGAAUGCCCUAUGGGUUGUAAACUUCUUUUGGAUGGGAAUAAAAUGAUCCCUGCGGGGGUUACUGAAGGUACCAUCAGAAUAAGCACCGGCUAACUCCGUGCCAGCAGCCGCGGUAAUACGGAGGGUGCGAGCGUUAUCCGGAAUUACUGGGUUUAAAGGGUGCGUAGGCGGAGAUUUAAGUCUGGGGUGAAAUAUUGUCGCUUAACGAUAAGCUUGCCUUGGAUACUGGGUCUCUUGAAUUGGGAUGAGGAUGGCGGAAUGUGACAUGUAGCGGUGAAAUGCAUAGAUAUGUCAUAGAACACCAAUUGCGAAGGC